UCGCAGUAGGAUCGCAUCAUUAUCGUUUCUAAAUACCUAAUCAACGUACCAAUUCCGGAAUUUGCAUGACCAUAUAAUUCUCGUUUUUCCCUCCUGGAAAACUAUCAACACUUACAUUGAACUCAGAUUCAAAUGUCGUGAUUUAAAUGCUCAAAGGAGAUGUUCAAAUGCAAAGAUCAUCUGUGCUCACCUGUAAAUUUCAUUAUGCAUCAUGAGUACUAGCCAUGGUGAUGGUUUAAAAUGCUCUGCUCUUUUAGCUGACAUGAACUGAUUGAGCAUUGACAAACAGUCACAACUCCAAAUAAUGAGAUGGAAUGUGUAAAAGAGAUUCUGCCACCACCUACAUUAGUCUCACAUGCCUUCAAAUUUUAUAUGGAGUAUGUGGAACUCCUAACUGGAUAUAGUUCUCUGACAAGUUUUAGGGGUUUGAUGUGCAUAUAUUGGAUGGAAAUGGUCCAUUGCGAUCUAAAGAGCGUUAAUUGCCUUGUGGAUAAGCACUUGACAAUCAAGAUUUGCGAUUUUGGAUUGUCAUGGAUACUUACCACUACACCAAUGAGAGAUAUAUCAUCUGCAGGGACUCCAGAAUGGAUGGCUCAGGAACUCAUCUGAAAUGAACCCUUUACAGAGAAGUGUGAUAUUUUUAGCCUGGGGGUACUAAUAUGGGAGCUUUGCACUCUUACUAGGCCAUGAGAAGGUGUUCCAUCAGCACAAGUAAUAUAUGCUGUUGCCAAUGAUGGAUUGCGGCUGGAAAUUCCUGAAUGUCCCUUUGGCAAACUAAUUGCAGAUUGUUGGGUAGAACCAGACGAAGGACCUAACAGUGAUGAGAUUCUUUCACGCUUGCUUGAUUAUGAGAAUACACUCCCUUGAUUUAAUUUAUGUUUGUACAGAAAACUAGAGUGAAGGUGCUGAACUGACAGUUUCAGAAUUUUUAAGUUAUCAUGAACUGCCGAUCAGUGACCAUCUUCCAUUUAAAUAGAAUCAUAAGUUUUCCAUGGACUUAAGUUUCAGUUUGCACUCUGGGCACCCUGCCCUAGCCUCCCUCUUCAUUAAUAUGUGUGCUUGCACCGCUGAAUUUACUGUUUAAGAAUUUGUAUAUCAAGAUAAUCUUCGGAGCACUUCUUCAGUUUUAUUAUCUUCUAAUUGUAUAGCAUGAAUUUCAGUUCCCCCUCUCUGCAUAUGUAUGCAUGCGAUUUCAUUCGACUUGAAUUGGAGCUUGAAAACAACACAAUGCUUGGACUUCAAUAUUAUAAGGAGGCAAAGAAAUUUUCAAAUAACACAGUAGAGGGACAUGAGCAGCCCAGCUCCAAGUUUUCAGUCAGGUAUGUGGCGCCUAUUGAGGGCGUCCUUAAAUCGAAAGCUGGAAUCUACUCAUACCUCUGUGCUCAUAUGAUUCUCAGGUGCAGGGUAGUAAUCCUCCCUGAGUUGUACAUCUCUGAGAUUUGGUAUUCUCAAAAGAAACAUCAAGUGUUCAUUAGCUGUCCCAUGAAUGAAAAGCUUCCUCAGGCUCAUACACCCAGCGAGCAAUCCUGCUGCAGGGAGAGAGUGUUCUCUGAUUAGCAUUCCUAUCCUGUGGAGGCCAAUAAUUGAGCUCAAUCAGAUUCACAUUCCCAAUCCCAUUCAGGUAAAACUGCUCUCACAGGCUUAAAUCCAUGUACCCUGAUGGAGCAGUCAGAGCAUACCCUACUACACCUCCACAGUCCAUACUCAUUCUGGAAAACUGAAGGUGACACACAAGGGAGCUUAGUCCAACAGUGCAGGCAGCAAGUCUCUGUUGCUGCCUGCAAUCGCCUUCAACAGUUAUUCUUGACUCUUCCAGAACGGGGCAAUCCUCUAGUCUUGCUAGAGCCAAUGGAGUCAGCAGUUCAUCAGCAGCAAACCUCAAACUUGAUCAGCCAGGGGCAGGUAAGGCCCCAUAGCUACCAACCCAUAAUCGGUCAAGUGAGGACAGUUCUUGAUGGACAGCGACUCCAAACGUCUGCAGAGUACAAUGCCAUCGGGUUGAGAAUCUAUUCCCUUGCAGAUCCCAUGGAACUGUCCCAGCUUCAAAAAUUUAAGCAGUGUGCACUUGGAACUAAGCCCCUCCAGCGCUGACCAGGUAUCUCUAACGUUUUGGCAAACACCAAGAACCAAUUCUUCAGCAUUGGCAGCCUUGCAAAAGGGUCACUGGUUGUGGUAUGACUGAUGAUAGCUUCUCCGGGAGCGUACACGUUUUCAUCUGGAUCAGCCCUAGCAUCUGAUAGGGAAGGAAUAUCAGCGAGACAGAGGAGGGGAAGAUGAGGACAGUUUGAAGCAAGAGCUCGUAGAGUUUCAUUGCUAAGUACAAAACCAGUGUUUCUCUGAUCAAAGCAUACAUGUAACAAGAAACUCAUGAAGUUUCGGGCAGGCAGCAGUGAUAGCGCGAAGCUCAUGAUCAGAUUUAAAUCCCUCAGUGGAAGAAACGGUGAGGAUAUCAUGACGGGAAAGGGAGGCUUCAAGACAAGGGUGAGCUUCAAGGGCUGGUGGGAUAUAUUCUGUCCAGGAGUAAAAAUUGGAGAGAUGGAGGAAAGAAAGUGAGUGGCAAUGCUCAAGCAGUGGGAGGAUGUCAGACCCAAAUGGUAGGCAACCGCUGGUGCCAGCGGACGAGCAUAACUCGAUGAAAAUUAGGCCAAUGAGGGGCCAGAAGCUGGAGAGUGGAUAGAUUGAGUGUAAACAUUAAGAGAGACCACAUAAAGGAAGGCCUUACGAAAGAGGACAGCCAGGAGAAGGAAGUCUAGAAUUGGAUGGCCCCAGGGGGAAAACAGAGAAGUCAAGCUCAGUGAUAGCUUGGAAGCAAGUUGGUAGAUGUUUCGAAUGUUACAACGAAGGGUGAGGGAAGUCCUCUUCACGCGCUCCACCACCAAGGAGAAUAUGUUGGAGAGAAUCAUAUCUGGCAAAUCAUGCACAUCGAGACUCCCCACACUUGGUGCCAUUUUUCCUUCUGUGGGAUUUUCUAUUCCUCAACUUUUUUUCUUCCGCAAAGGGAGUGGGAAUGGAUGAUGAGUAGCCUUGGUGUCGUAUGGGGAUGAAGUUCAUCAUGCAUGCAGAAACCUAAAGAGUCUUAAAGACGGACUAAGUGUUUACUUGUGUGUAAGGAUGAAGAUAAAGAUUCAGCGCGGGAAAGUACUGCUGGCUUAGAGGGAGGAUGGGAAUGAGAGAGAACUUGCAUGGAGUUGUGGGGAUGAAGGAAAGUAGUGGAAACUGAUGCCCUUAAGGGAGGAAAGAAGCUCAUGCAUCUGAGCUGUGCUUGUGAGGAUGAAGAAGAUAAAAAUGCAGUGGUGGCUCCACACGCAACAGAGAGAGAGAAGAGAGGAAAGAAGCUCAUGCAUCUGAGCUAUGCAGUGGUGGCUCCACAUGCAACAGAGAGAGAGAGUAGUAACAGUAGUAGUAGAAACUGGUGGCCUUUAAGAGGAUAGGAGGUUGUGCAUCUGAGGUGAGGGGUAAUGGUGAGGACUGAGGAGGAAGAGAAAGAGUCACAGAAACUGGUGGCUCGAGGGAGAGAGUAUCAAGGGAGGACUUGUAGGGUGGAAGAUAAAGAUGCGGUAAAAAGAGAGUCGCUGGUCUUUGGGUUGCCACCUGUCGCCACGGCCACGACCCCAUCACCCCUGAUCGUUCAUUUCACUUUUCUUAUUCCUCUUUUUUUUCCUUCUUUUUUCCAUUUCUUUUCACCUUUUUGUGAUAUUUCUUUUCUCAAAAAUUCAUUUAGUCGGCAGUAAUGGUUAUGCCAUCGUCCAGUGGGUCCGGUCCGCUCCACAUGGUCCCAUAACCCUCCCAAAACUCAUGAAAAUGGAAGGAAAUGCGUUUGAAAUAUGCCUCACUUUUUCAGGAAA